CCAUAUGCACCUAGCCAUGGCUGUUGGAUCUGGCUUUUGGCUUCUGGGAGUGCUGUUGCUGUAGCCAUGGCCGGCCCUCGGCUUGGACUACCUGGCCUCUCGCCUCUCGCCUGCACCGCAACCGCGCUGGUGGUGAUGCUCUGCCUCGGCUACAAGUUAUUCAGGUGGUGGACGGAUGGACAGACGAGAUGCCGAUGGAGCCUUGUUCUUGGACUUGCGGUGGUCUUUGUCAAAUUCUGCUAAAGAAACAACCUUAUCAGUGAAGCUUCUUGUUCGUAUCAUUCCAGGGAAACUGAUGCAACCGAUACAUGAACAUCUCACUUGGAUCUGGGUUUGUCUGAUGCUGCCAUGUUGCAGAUGGAGGUUGACCUUGCACCUUGGAAAUCAACUAUUGCAGUGCUACCUGUCCACCAUGCCUUUUCCCUGGAACCAUAAUCGGUUCAAGUUGAACAACAGUAUAGUUUACAAAACAAUGAUUGCUGAAGAAGAUGAGGCUGGCCAGAGAUGAGAUUUUGUUUUGCCUUGGUUUUAGAAGAUCGAGGUAUUUUCUAAACGAGGACCAUAAAUGCAACAUGUGGUCCUGGCACAUGCACCUAACCAUGGCUACUGAAUAUAGCCGUUUUGGCUUCCAACUGGGCUGCUGCUGUACUAGCCACAGCCGGCCCUUGGCUUCGACUACCUGGCCUCCCGCCUUGGUCCGCGACGCAACCGCGGUGGUGAUGCUCUGCCUUGGCUACAAGCUAUU